CAGCAAUAGAAGCUGCUUCUGACAAGAUUAUUACAUAACAUUCACCUAAAUCAGACUGAAUCAAAGUGGGAUUCCUGAAAAGAGCAGAGCUGUGGGAUUAGGAGACCCACCACAGAUUGACAGUUCCAGGUGGUGUGAACCAUCGGACUGAGCCGCCAAUGACACGGAGCUGCCCUCCGCCGCCGCCGCGUGGCCCCGGGCUGGGAUGGAAACAAGGAGCGUUUGUUCUUCUGUUUUACUGACUUUUUAACGAGUUGUAACAUAAUUGGAAUAAAUGAUAUAAAAUAUGCUUAAGUUUAGAAGUUGGAGCUGCCAGGAUGGAGGCCCAGGAGGAUCAUCAUGAGGACAUGGAUGAGGAAGAUGCUGAGGAGAGGCGUAGAUGAUGCUCUAGUGUGAACAGACAGCUAUUAAGAAGGAAAAAGGGGAAAUAAUUAUGGAAUGAUAAUAGUAAUAUAAAUAAAGUCCCAUUCUAACUUUUCAUUUUUUUUGUAAAAUUGUUCCCAGAUGUCUGAUUGUGCAGUUUUUUUAAGAAAUAUUUUAAUAAAAAAAAAAUUAAAAAAAGCACCUUUGGGUUGAUGGCAGGAAUUUUAAGGUGGAGGUUAGCCUCCACUUAUUUCCCAUUAGCUCUUAAAAAAAAAACCUUUAUUAACAAAAAUCGAUUUCCAAACACUUCACAAGAGGAACACAAAGAGAAUAGACUACAAGAGGGGUAAAAAAGAACAGUAUUCCAGAGCACAUCUGAGUAAAACAGCGUGAUGAAAAUGGGGUAACGUUGAAAACAUCUCUAGCUAUUUCUACAAACAGGUUUCAGGUUUUAUAGCUUUCAGAUUGUAUGAAUUUUUGAGAGGUUUCCUGCAUUUUUUAAUUUCACAAAUGAAGAGGUAAAGAGGGUUUCUUGUGGGUAUAUUUGCAUAAGGAAUUUGACUAAAAGACAAAUUCAAUUAAAUAAAUUGACCUUUUUGUUUUCUAUUUCUUCUUC